rnacentral:rRNA from 1 species
GGUUAAGCGACUAAGCGUACACGGUGGAUGCCCUGGCAGUCAGAGGCGAUGAAGGACGUGCUAAUCUGCGAAAAGCGUCGGUAAGGUGAUAUGAACCGUUAUAGCCGGCGAUGUCCGAAUGGGGAAACCCAGUGCAAUUCGUUGCACUAUCGUUAACUGAAUACAUAGGUUAACGAGGCGAACCGGGGGAACUGAAACAUCUAAGUACCCCGAGGAAAAGAAAUCAACCGAGAUUCCCCCAGUAGCGGCGAGCGAACGGGGAGCAGCCCAGAGUCUGAAUCAGCUUGUGUGUUAGUGGAACGGUCUGGAAAGUCCGACGGUACAGGGUGAUAGUCCCGUACACCAAAAUGCACAGGCUGUGAACUCGAAGAGUAGGGCGGGACACGUGGUAUCCUGUCUGAAUAUGGGGGGACCAUCCUCCAAGGCUAAAUACUCCUGACUGACCGAUAGUGAACCAGUACCGUGAGGGAAAGGCGAAAAGAACCCCGGCGAGGGGAGUGAAAAAGAACCUGAAACCGUGUACGUACAAGCAGUGGGAGCACCUUUAUGGUGUGACUGCGUACCUUUUGUAUAAUGGGUCAGCGACUUAUAUUCUGUAGCAAGGUUAACCGUAUAGGGGAGCCGCAGGGAAACCGAGUCUUAACUGGGCGUUAAGUUGCAGGGUAUAGACCCGAAACCCGGUGAUCUAGCCAUGGGCAGGUUGAAGGUUGGGUAACACUAACUGGAGGACCGAACCGACUAAUGUUGAAAAAUUAGCGGAUGACUUGUGGCUGGGGGUGAAAGGCCAAUCAAACCGGGAGAUAGCUGGUUCUCCCCGAAAGCUAUUUAGGUAGCGCCUCGUGAACUCAUCUUCGGGGGUAGAGCACUGUUUCGGCUAGGGGGUCAUCCCGACUUACCAACCCGAUGCAAACUACGAAUACCGAAGAAUGUUAUCACGGGAGACACACGGCGGGUGCUAACGUCCGUCGUGAAGAGGGAAACAACCCAGACCGCCAGCUAAGGUCCCAAAGUCAUGGUUAAGUGGGAAACGAUGUGGGAAGGCACAGACAGCCAGGAUGUUGGCUUAGAAGCAGCCAUCAUUUAAAGAAAGCGUAAUAGCUCACUGGUCGAGUCGGCCUGCGCGGAAGAUGUAACGGGGCUAAACCAUGCACCGAAGCUGCGGCAGCGACGCUUAUGCGUUGUUGGGUAGGGGAGCGUUCUGUAAGCCUGCGAAGGUGGCCUGUGAGGGUUGCUGGAGGUAUCAGAAGUGCGAAUGCUGACAUAAGUAACGAUAAAGCGGGUGAAAAGCCCGCUCGCCGGAAGACCAAGGGUUCCUGUCCAACGUUAAUCGGGGCAGGGUGAGUCGACCCCUAAGGCGAGGCCGAAAGGCGUAGUCGAUGGGAAACAGGUUAAUAUUCCUGUACUUGGUGUUACUGCGAAGGGGGGACGGAGAAGGCUAUGUUAGCCGGGCGACGGUUGUCCCGGUUUAAGCAUGUAGGCUGGUUAUCCAGGCAAAUCCGGAUAAUCAAGGCUGAGGUGUGAUGACGAGGCACUACGGUGCUGAAGUAACAAAUGCCCUGCUUCCAGGAAAAGCCUCUAAGCAUCAGGUAACAUCAAAUCGUACCCCAAACCGACACAGGUGGUCAGGUAGAGAAUACCAAGGCGCUUGAGAGAACUCGGGUGAAGGAACUAGGCAAAAUGGUGCCGUAACUUCGGGAGAAGGCACGCUGGUGUGUAGGUGAAGUCCCUGCGGAUGGAGCUGAGACCAGUCGAAGAUACCAGCUGGCUGCAACUGUUUAUUAAAAACACAGCACUGUGCAAACACGAAAGUGGACGUAUACGGUGUGACGCCUGCCCGGUGCCGGAAGGUUAAUUGAUGGGGUUAUCCGUAAGGAGAAGCUCUUGAUCGAAGCCCCGGUAAACGGCGGCCGUAACUAUAACGGUCCUAAGGUAGCGAAAUUCCUUGUCGGGUAAGUUCCGACCUGCACGAAUGGCGUAAUGAUGGCCAGGCUGUCUCCACCCGAGACUCAGUGAAAUUGAACUCGCUGUGAAGAUGCAGUGUACCCGCGGCAAGACGGAAAGACCCCGUGAACCUUUACUAUAGCUUGACACUGAACAUUGAGCCUUGAUGUGUAGGAUAGGUGGGAGGCUUUGAAGCGUGGACGCCAGUCUGCGUGGAGCCAACCUUGAAAUACCACCCUUUAAUGUUUGAUGUUCUAACGUUGGCCCCUAAUCGGGGUUGCGGACAGUGUCUGGUGGGUAGUUUGACUGGGGCGGUCUCCUCCCAAAGCGUAACGGAGGAGCACGAAGGUUAGCUAAUCCUGGUCGGACAUCAGGAGGUUAGUGCAAUGGCAUAAGCUAGCUUGACUGCGAGCGUGACGGCGCGAGCAGGUGCGAAAGCAGGUCAUAGUGAUCCGGUGGUUCUGAAUGGAAGGGCCAUCGCUCAACGGAUAAAAGGUACUCCGGGGAUAACAGGCUGAUACCGCCCAAGAGUUCAUAUCGACGGCGGUGUUUGGCACCUCGAUGUCGGCUCAUCACAUCCUGGGGCUGAAGUAGGUCCCAAGGGUAUGGCUGUUCGCCAUUUAAAGUGGUACGCGAGCUGGGUUUAGAACGUCGUGAGACAGUUCGGUCCCUAUCUGCCGUGGGCGCUGGAGAAUUGAGGGGGGCUGCUCCUAGUACGAGAGGACCGGAGUGGACGCAUCACUGGUGUUCGGGUUGUCAUGCCAAUGGCACUGCCCGGUAGCUAAAUGCGGAAGAGAUAAGUGCUGAAAGCAUCUAAGCACGAAACUUGCCCCGAGAUGAGUUCUCCCUGAGACUUUAAGUCUCCUGAAGGAACGUUAAAGACGAUGACGUUGAUAGGCCGGGUGUGUAAGCGCAGCGAUGCGUUGAGCUAACCGGUACUAAUGAACCGUGAGGCUUAACCUU